rnacentral:rRNA from 1 species
AGUGAACGCUGGCGGUAGGCCUAACACAUGCAAGUCGAACGGCAGCACAGUAAGAGCUUGCUCUUACGGGUGGCGAGUGGCGGACGGGUGAGGAAUACAUCGGAAUCUACUUUUUCGUGGGGGAUAACGUAGGGAAACUUACGCUAAUACCGCAUACGACCUACGGGUGAAAGCAGGGGAUCUUCGGACCUUGCGCGAUUGAAUGAGCCGAUGUCGGAUUAGCUAGUUGGCGGGGUAAAGGCCUACCAAGGCGACGAUCCGUAGCUGGUCUGAGAGGAUGAUCAGCCACACUGGAACUGAGACACGGUCCAGACUCCUACGGGAGGCAGCAGUGGGGAAUAUUGGACAAUGGGCGCAAGCCUGAUCCAGCAAUACCGCGUGGGUGAAGAAGGCCUUCGGGUUGUAAAGCCCUUUUGUUGGGAAAGAAAAGCAGCAGGUUAAUACCCCGCUGUUCUGACGGUACCCAAAGAAUGAGCACCGGCUAACUUCGUG